GCUGUAUUUUAGGUUAUUUUGUAAUAAGAGUUUAAUUCAAAUUAUUAAACUAUAUAGUAUUGUCUAAGUGAGAAUGCUUAAGUUGUACGUAUGUCUGACGUACUUAACUAUUUUUAUAUACCGAUUCUCGUACUCGUUCAACCGGUUUGUCUGGUCAACGUGUGUCUCAAGUGUUUGUUACCUGUGCUGUUUUGUUAUGUAAAUGUCUUGUCACGUGAUCGCAUGUCAGCUCGUGCACUUGUACGUCUUGUAUCUUCACUCCCGCACUGGACAGAGACCGGACCAGACAUAGAAACCUAUACCGACAUAUAUGAUACCGACUGCGGUGAACAGAACUCUACUUAUUUCAGAAACCAUAGACCUAUUAUGUAGGCAACGUAUAUUAUACGUAGAGCUAUCAUCAUUAGACCCCUGUCGGAGCGAUAGGGGUCUUUCGACUCCAAUAAAACGAUUGAAUAACUAGGAAUUUGCUUCUUCGUGAUUUGUAAGAAUUUGUGUAGCACCUGAACC
rnacentral:lncRNA from 1 species